UCAGGGUGAACGCUAGCUACAGGCUUAACACAUGCAAGUCGAGGGGCAGCAGAUCGAUAGCUUGCUAUUGAUGCUCGGCGACCGGCGCACGGGUGAGUAACGCGUAUCCAACCUUCCCUAUAGUAGAGGAUAGCCCGGCGAAAGUCGGAUUAAUACUCUAUGUUUUCCAAUGCAGACAUCUAAGUUGGAACAAAGGUUCACCGCUAUAGGAUGGGGAUGCGUCUGAUUAGGUUGUUGGCGGGGUAACGGCCCACCAAGCCUACGAUCAGUAGGGGUUCUGAGAGGAAGGUCCCCCACAUUGGAACUGAGACACGGUCCAAACUCCUACGGGAGGCAGCAGUGAGGAAUAUUGGUCAAUGGGCGAGAGCCUGAACCAGCCAAAAGUAGCGUGCAGGAUGACGGCCCUAUGGGUUGUAAACUGCUUUUAUACGGGGAUAAAGUGAGGGACGUGUCCCUUUUUGUAGGUACCGUAUGAAUAAGGACCGGCUAAUUCCGUGCCAGCCGCGGC
rnacentral:rRNA from 1 species